GGAGACGGCGGGGCGGGAGGGGGGAGAGGCGGCGGAGGCGCGGCGGGCAGGCUGAUGCUGUGUCGGCUGCCGUCGAAAGUUUAGGGGAGAAGGGACUCGGCGCGGCAGAGCCGCCGGGACGAGUCGGGAAGCGGCCCCGGGGCUGCGGCUCUGCCCGGCGGAGUGCCGGCCGGUCGGGCUGCCGGGGGCCUGCGUGUGCGACGCCAAGGUAGAAGACUUCACAGGGAUGGAGAUUCGCAGGCGUGCACGGCGGGCUUUUAAAGCCUCGUGGUUUAUGGAAAAACAGUUCCUAAAGAAUCGCCGACAGCUUUGUCAUCCGGUAGUCAAAAAAUUGCAAGUAAAAAAUUUUUCCCGGUUACAACAGAUCACACUGGUAUGCGAUCAGGUUAUUUGUAGACACGCUACGUUCGAGAGAACCUAAGUGUAGGGUGAGCAAAAGCUCAGGCAGGAUUCUCUGGUUUAGAGAACAUGUGAGAUGGAGGUCUUGGGAACUAAGUGAGAAAACCUGAGAUGAUGCAAACGAGAGAGAGCUGGGUACGCUGGAGUAAAGAGACUGCAGGAAUCACAGGGUGCAAAGUAAAUCUUCAUUAUGCUGAGAGGCGAUUUAAAGGCUAGAGCUGUAUCUGAGAAUUGGAGACAAGAAGUACUGGAGAAAUAAAGCUUCAAAAAUGAAGGUGGCAGGAGUUUUUCUGGAUUUGGAGGUUUCUGAGCGGAGGAGCAAUACACUCUCAAGAGUGAAUACAUCAUUGGAAUUACAUAUACCACCAGAAAGAAUGCUCAGAUUUUACUUAACAAAUUGGCUGUAGCUGGAGACAGUGCAUUUUGCAGAAGGAACCUCUUCCUGUGGUGGUACAGAGAGCAAUCUUUGCAGCCAAAUAUAUGGCUGUAGCGUCUUAGGUAAACCGGUAGCCCGGUCUGUUAAUGCAGAUUUCCUUCCGUAUGGGGAAUUCCCUUUUGCAGUGUAGAGUGGGAACCUCCAAAACUACUUGAAUCUGUCAAACUUAAAAUGUCCUUUCCAGGACAGCAGCUUACACGGGCACCUUAGUCUCUCCUGAUGAGACACAGGGUUCAAUUUUCUGAGGGCUAAUCUAGAGUCCUGGCCUAGUCAAAGUCCUUGGGUUUAAUUCAGUGUAUUUGGGUGAAGUACAAAGCCUGUGCUAUGCUGUGAAUCAGAGCGGAUGAUACAGUGAUGUUCUUAAAUACUACAAAACUCUGUGAAAGAAAGCUACAAAGAAGCAUGGGAAGGGAACUAGGCAGAAUGGCAGCUAAAAGGUCAGAGUCUCCAGAAUCCAGUAGAAUUUGGGGUCUCCAAAUGGAUUCUUACUCUCCAUUUGGACAGGGUUUCAUCGUUCAAACCAUGAUCCUGUAGCAGUCACAUAGUACUAAAGUAAUGUCUACUGACAUUUAAUUGCUUUUUAAAUUGUGUUUAAUUGCUUUGUUGUGCAGGGAAACACCUUGAGCAAAUCUCCUAAGAGCUAGUUUUAAUUACUGACUUUAAAAUAUGUUAAUUUUCUCUUUAAAUAGAAAUAAUAACAUCCCAAUAAAAUGUAAUCAUAUUAUAA